rnacentral:rRNA from 1 species
AUGGGUUCUUGCGUGUCGACCACGAGGCGGCGGCGGAGGUCCUCCAGGAAGCUGUCGGCCACGGCGACCAAGUUCCGCCGCAAGGUGUCCGCCGCGAUCGCCGGCGACGCGGCCGGCCGCUUCGCCGCGCGCCACGGGGUCGUCCGCGUCGACGGCGCGCCGCCGGCCUCGGGCGUCACGCUCCACCUCACGCAGCUGCAGUGGCAGCACAGCCAGAUGGACGCAGGGAAUGUGAUCUGCGACGAGGCGUGGUACGACUCCGUCAGCAUGCUGGGAGACUCGGCCGGCUCCGACGACGACGACAACGAUUACUCCAGCGUCAGUGGAGAUCCUCUCCCGGAGGACGCCGCCGGCGGCACGAGCGCGUCGCCGUGCAAGGACGCGGCGUGCCUGGCGGACGCCGUGCAGCGCCUCCGGAGCAUCGCGGACGCGGAGGCGUGCCAGGGCGACCCCCCGGGGAAAAGCGAGGACCCCGACGCUGCUCCUGCUCCUGGUCAUGCCGCUGCCGGUGGCCUGAAAGAACCGCAGAGCGCGGCGUCCUGCUCGCCUCGGCCUCUCCCGGGCUCCGUCCCGAGCCACAAGGUGCAGCCGAUGCCGGUCGCCGGGUUCAGCCCGCACCACCAGAGGAAGAAAUCGGCCGUCGUCAGGCUCUCCUUCCGGAGGAGGUCGUACGAGGGCGAUGAGAUGACCGAAAUGACUGGCUCGGCCAAGUACCUGUACCGGCCGAGAGCGGGCCUGACGCUGCCGUGUGCGGCCGGCGAGAAGCCGUCGGAGGGCUGCUGGUCGGUCCUCGAGCCGUCGGUGUUCAGGGUCAGAGGGGAGGGUUUCUUCAGAGACAAGAGGAAAUCCCCAGCCCCAAACUGCUCCCCCUACACCCCGAUCGGAGCUGACAUGUUUGCCUGCCCAAGGAAGGUGCACCACAUUGCGCAGCACAUCGCGCUCCCGUCGCUCAAGCCCCACGACUCCUUCCCUUCGCUCCUCAUUGUCAACAUUCAGUUGCCUACCUACCCUACUACCAUGUUCGGCGAGAACGACGGCGACGGGGUUAGCCUGGUCCUGUAUUUCAAGAUAUCCGAUAGCUUCGACAAGGAGAUCUCUCCUCAGCUCAAGGACAGCAUCAAGAGUGUUAUGAACGAGGAAAUGGAGAAGGUCAAGGGGUUCCCGGUGGACAGCAACGUGCCCUACACAGAGAGGCUGAAAAUCCUGGCCGGCAUUGUAAACCCUGAAGACCUGCAGCUCAGCGCGGCCGAGAGGAGGCUUGUGCAGACCUACAACCAGAAGCCCGUGCUGUCUAGGCCCCAGCACAAAUUCUACAAGGGCUCGAACUACUUCGAGAUCGACAUCGACGUGCACCGGUUCAGCUACAUAUCGCGGAAGGGCCUUGAGACCUUCCGAGAGCGGCUGAAACAUGGUGUCAUCGAUCUUGGGCUGACCAUUCAGGUACUUAAUAUUUCCCCUCUGUUCUUGGCCUUGGGACCUGUUGUCAUGAGGAGUAUUUUGUUGGCUGAAAGUCUGAACCUUGUCGUCUGGGUGCAGGCACAGAAGGCUGAGGAGCUACCUGAGCAUGUGUUGUGCUGCAUGAGGCUGAACAAGUUGGAUUUUGCGGACAACGGGCAAAUACCGACGCUCAUAACCUCCAGCGAUGAAUGA